GCUGAGCCGCAGGGGGCGCAUGUAGGGCGGCCGGAGCGACGGCCCCUCGACGGGCGGCCGAGCGAGUCAGCGACCUCCGCGGCAGGCUGAAGGAAGAUCUGGGCACUUGGGAGUGGUCCCAUUCCGGUCGAUUGCAGGCCUUCGAAGAGCCACCGAGGCGAAUGUUAAGCAGCCGAGAAAUCGGGAAGAAGGCGCAUGGAAAGCGACGCCGGGGAGAGUGUCCCAGUGGCCAAGCCAGAUCCGUGUGUGUGUGUGAGUGAGCACGCUUUUGUACAGAAGACGACGGAGACGGAGAAGACGGAGAAGGCGACCGAGGCAGAAGGCCACUCCACAACCACCAUUGCGCACGCGUGUGCGUGGUGUGCUUGUAUCUUGUGUACAGCGGAAGCCCAAGUGGCACGGGAGUCGCUGGGUUUGGGGGUGGGGGAUGGGGGAGCCAUUCCUUGCAGUAGCUUCAGCUGCACGGCGGGGUUUGCCCACCUCGGUCAUCGAGUGGGGAUCCUCCUGGGAUUGGUCUCCAUGGGAGCCACUCAACCCCUUCCUGCCUGGCACCUGCCAAUCACGGGGUCAGGGUUUUCGCAGCCUUGCAGAGAGGCAGCCUAGGGGCGGGGGGUGUAUUAUAUCUCUCUCUACAUAGGGGUGGGGUGGGGUGUAUAUGUAUAUAGGUCUCUCUCUUGUCCGAAGGGCCAAAUCCGGACCCUUGCGAUCUCUUUCGCUAUUUUGAUUCGGAGAGCUGAGCAGGGCUGUCUCCGUGGUGCUAUUCUGGCUCUUUGAAACCAAACCAAACCAGGUUUUCUACAUUGUCCUAACCACCUUCUUAGCAUCUUAGCUACUGAAGGGGGUGGGUGGGCACGUAGGGAGGGGGUUUUCUCUGGGCAGUUCAGUCCUGCCUGCCUAGGAGAUGUCGCCUUUGCACAAACGCAGGCAUUGGACGAGGCCGCGAAGACCUUAAUCUCCCAAUAAGAGGUAGUGCUCGACUUACAACCAGUGGCUUCGUGACAAUAGUGGUUUAUGACCGGUUUUCCACACUUUAGGACCGUUCCAGCAUUCCCAAGUUGGGCACUUGGCAACUGGCAUUAUUUAUUAUUUUUAUUUUAUUUUAUUAAAUUUCUAUACCGCCCUUCUCCCGAAGGACUCAGGGUGGUGAAUAGCCAAAAGAUAAAACACAGAGAUACAAAAUUUAAAACAGAUUAAAACAGAUUAAACAAUUUGGCUAAAUUUUAAAAAUAUCCCAUAAUUAAACAAAUUAAAAUUAGUGUUUAAAAUUUAAAUUUUAAAAUUUUAAAAGGGAGAAGAUUUAGGCCAGGCUAGCUUGAUGAAAUGUACUUAGGACGGUUGCACUUGUCCGAGGGGUGGUGUGAUCACCAUUUGUAAACCUUCCAAGAAGCAAAUUCGGGGGAGGGAAGACGGAUUCAUUUAACGACCACAUGAUUCACUUAACAACUGCAUCGAUUUGCUUAAUAAUUGAGGCCACAGGAAGGCCGGCAAAGCUCACCUAACAACCGCCUUGCUUAGCGACGGGAAAAUUUGGGCUCAGGUUGUGGCCGUAAGCCGAGGACUAGCUGUAACAGGUGGUCCUUUGACUUGCAGCAGUUCACUUAGUGACCGUUCAAAGUUACAACGGUGUGGGGGAAAAAGUGGGUUGUGACCGUUUUCACACUUACGACCGUUGCAGCAGCCAUGGUCAAGUGAUCCAAAUUCAGCCACUUUGGCAACUGCUUCCUAUUUUAUGACAGGGAUCGCGCCUUCCGACGUGCAAAGUCAACGGGGGAAGCCAGAUUCGCUUCCGAACCGUGUGACCCAUUUAACAAAGGCAGCAAUUCGCUUUAACAAAAGUGGCAAGAAAAAGUUGUAAAACGGGGCAAAACUCACAAAGUCCUCCGACAUAAAUUCUGGGCUCAAUUGUGGUUGUAAGUCGAGUACCUUACCUGCCUUCAAAAUCAGACCAGAAUAGGUUUUAGCACUAAAAAAAUAAAAUAAAACAAUAUUAGUGCUCUAAAGGGCUUCCUAUUCAAACUUGACUGUAGAUGAACAGGGAGACCGAGCCAAUAAUGUUGAUUUCUAGAAAACCUGGGCUAUCCAGAUAGAAAUUGGCUACCAAGAAUAAUAUAACAUGCUGGUCUUCAAUUGUGCCUCCCUCUCCCUGUUUUGCUUGGAUUUUGCAACACUAGAGGAACAAAUAUUUGCUGAUAAUUGCAAAAACAUCCUUUUCAGCUUCAAAUCUGUAGAUAGUCAAAGGGCGGGGUGGGGGUGGAGAGCUUUUCCUCCGUUUCGAUGCAUGGGGAAGAUUACGCUGGAACUUGUAACUGUAGACAUAACGGUGUCCUUUCUUUCACGUUCCAUUAACGCAAAGCUGAAAAGGGGAACCCCCCUUAAGGGGUUGAAUGUACCUCUGCCUCGGCCCCCAUUGCUGUGUGAGUUGGAUCCUCAUUCGUGAUGAACAGAACUCUUUUUUAGCAUGCGAAGAACGCCUAGAGAUCAUGUAGUCCACCCCCCCUACCCUUCUUCAAAUGAGACCUACAGUGCAAAAUACAACUCCAGUUUCACCAAUAAAUUUCGGUCAGCCUCAGCUGAAAGCCCUCCCCCUCA